AACUAUAGCUACAUGUACAACUGUAGCUAGCUAACUAGCUAGCUAGCUAUAUAUUCUCGGAUCCGUGUAAACGUGCUUGAAAUUUUCUGAUCAUUUUCAACAAAAAUGACCGACAUGCUUAAAUUCAGCACCAAAAUUUAUGGAAACAUGCAAAUUUUUUUGUGUUGUUUUAAUUUUACUGAAUUAAAAAGUAUUAAAACGUUCUACUUUUCCCCUUUUUAAAUAUAUAAAUAUGUUAUACAUGUGUGUUAUAAAUUUCGAGUUAUUUCGUCGAACAAAACACACAAAACUAAAAAAAACAUUAUUUUUGGCGAAAGUAUACCAUCUUUCCAACCUUGUGCCAACACCGCGCUACUAGCUACGGACUUGAAAAUUGGUAUGGGGGGCCUGGAAACAUGGUUCUAUUGGCUGGUACCGUGCACCGUUCGUCUCGCAAACUAUAAACUACUUAAAUUUUAAGUUAAAGUCUUCUUUAGGCGCUAAAAAAGAGGAGAAAAAGUUGCCAAAGUGGUGCACAGCAAUUUGAUGUAGUGUGAUCCCUUUUCUGUUUAAUUAUAUAAUUAUCUAAACUUCUAAGCAAGUCACAGUGAUGGCGUUUAAUGUUUUAGUAGGUAUGGUUUUUCCCAGCAAAAUUACGGCAACCCGGUGUUUUCUUUUGACUUGAUUGCUCGACCCGGGAAUUCCAAUCCGAAACCGGGAUUUUUUAAAAAUGUUGGAAUAAGCGAGACAACAGUGUCUUAGCAAUUUUGAAGCUAGCUAAAGUUUGGCAGAGCACGAGUUAAGACUUUGGUGGGCUCUUUCAAGAUAAAAUUGUUGAAAUCAAAGAUGUUUAUGGCUAGCUAGCUAGCUAAUCUUGGCUUUAUCACAAGAUUGGGUGCUAUUUUAUACAAUUUAUAAAGAAACACAAAAUGAUUGCUUUGUAUAUAUUUAAUGUAUAUAAUAAAUAAACUAUUUAUGCACAACUUGAGAUAUUUUCUACUAACAUGAUAAACUAGAAUGUUGAAACUGUCGACUCUGAAUGACGUUUUAUUAAAUGUAUGAUGUCACAUAUUUGGCCCGAAAACCCUUAGGACCAAAAGUGACCCUUUGGACAAUUUCGGACAGAUAAAUAUUACAUCUACAUCAUCUUUAAUGGCCUCAGAAUCCAAAGUAAUGUUUUUUAUUCAGUUAAUAAACAAAUUUUAAGCAUACAUUCAGGCUCUAAAGGCUGUUUUUCACAUAAUUUCUAACAUUUGGCCCAAAAAUAACCCUUUGGACAAUUUCGGACAGACUAAUAUGUCAUCUACAUCAUCUUUAAUGGCCUUAGAAUCCAAAGUAAUGUUUUUUAUUCAGUUAAUAAACAAACUUUAAGCAUACAUUGAGGCUCAAGGCCGUUUUUCACAUAGGUCUCACAUUUGGCCCAAAAAUAACCCUUUGGACAAUUUCGGACAGUAAUAAAAUUAAUUAAUUUUUAUUCCAGAUAUUUAACCUAACCUGUGGACCAUAAAAAACAUGUUUCCUUAACUUUAUUCUAGAGAUAUUGUGGAAGACAUUCAUCUAAAUGAUAAUUUUUAAGUCAUUUUUAGACAUUUUGGCCUAAAUAUACCAAUUUCGGACAGGUGUCCAAAAAUUUUUUUCUUUUAAUAAUAUGGACAAUUUAUCUGAGAUUAUUAUUCUUUUUACAGAAUAUAAAAAUUUUAUUUCGUUCUUGAGAUAUCUUGUUUUAACUGAGAGGGUAAUUCGAAUUAUUUUUUCGUAACAUUUUUGUCCGCUUCGAAACAGCUGUGUAUUUCCAGGAGGGGCCAUGGCGUAGAUGGAGAGUCCUAGAGUAUUUAAUGCUCAUUUUGAGCUACGCAGACCCAAUUAGAGCCCGCGCUCACUAGACAACUCCCGGCAACAUCCAACGGCCCACACAGUGUGCCAUCUUCCCAAUUUCCCUCACAUGGCUUGGGUUAACCCGGGGCUAUGGUAACAUUCACUCGCCCAUGUUGAAUCGCCGUCAAGAGGAAUCGAACCCCGGUCUC